AUGGGGAGACCUUCCCUAAGUAGCUCUCUGUUCUGCAGCACCGACCAUUUAACUUCUGCGGCUCCAGAACAACUGGGUGACCGCAUAGGGCAGCAGGACGCAGCGCCACCAUUCGCUCCCUUCACAGCCCAUCCCAGCGCGGCCGCGCACGCGCAGUCCGCCCUUAGGGCUGGGGACGCACCCGCCCAGCUCGCAGGGGCGGCAGCAGGUCGCUUCGGCCGUGCCGGCAGGGGGGCAGCGAUCGCGACCCCAAGGUUGUGCCACUGUAGGCUGCGGACCAGCCUGAAGCGGAGAAAAGUCACGCAGAUCAAUGGAAUAUUCUUUUGAAGAAGGAAAUGUAUCUGUUAUAAUUUCCCGUUUGUUGCUUCUGCAUAGGUGGGUGAGUUUCUUCCUGAAAACAACCAAUGAUUAUUUUACCUACUGAAGCAUGUGGAUUGAUUACUGUAUUAUUUUUACUCUAGUUAGCUCAACACAACUACAGAUGUUAUUUUUAUCCAUAUCUGUCAAAUCUUUUUUUUUUAAAUCUUACUAUUAUCAGUAAUGUCUAGUGACACUGAGUUCCACAAAUUAAUUAUAUGCUGAGUUUGUGGAAUCUUUCAAGUCCUUUAUUGUAGCUGGGUUAAUAAGAUAUCCUUGUAAGCAUAUCCAUAAGCAGAGAUAGGUAUAUUCUAAAAAAAGUAAAAUAUUCAUAUAUUCUGGAGAACUACCAAGGAACCAGAAGACUGAACACACAGUCACAUUUAACUAUACAACCCAUGCUCACAUUCAAUAUUAAGAUACUGCUUUCUGACAGAAAACAGGGGGAAAGCCACUGAGCAUCCAAAGAACCUACAUCAGGAUGGAGAUGGGUGGCAUUAUUAUCUACUUCCCCACUCUCCCCCAGUUUUCUAGAGUUAGUGAUAAAUGAUUCCUCUAUGUAAAACUAUUUACCUUAUAUGACUGAAAACCAAUGCAGAUUUAUUAUUAGUUUUUAUACCUUCUCAAAGACUUAAUCUAUGUCCUUUUCUUCCAUUUUACAAUCUGAACUUUGUCUUCUAUUUCCCAUACACAGCAAAUGGACAGAUACAUUGCUUUGUGUGCAAGCUCUCAUUCUCUCACCUCUCUGCUACUUUUGCCUCCUGUUGAUAAAAUGACACCAGUAAACAUUCUUGCAGCUUUUUAUUUCCUUUUUUUUCCUGACAUACUUACCUACUUUUUCUUCAUGACUGUUACUACUUAUUAUGUAUUUUAUUAAUUUUUCUCUCUUUUCUUUCACUUAGACUAAUCUUAGAGAAUUGAAGUAAUGUCGUUUGUAUUUUCUUCUGUCCUUUUCUAUUGUGCUCUCAGAAUACGGGAAGCGGCACAUUGAGCUGAGGAAGGUGAGUCUAUUGUCUCGUCUACCAGAUAGUGCUUGGAGGCCUUGCAUAAAUGCUUACUGCUUGUAAAAAAUGUGCAGUGAGGACCACAAGUGAUUGCUGUAUUUCUACCAGUGUGUUUGAAGGCGUUAUGAUGGCUGCAGCCUUCUGCAGAGUUAAAGACCAGAGGCACAACUCUCGUGCAUGUCUCUCUUCUAGUUUUGCUCUGCCUGGAGGAGUUCUAAUUUAGCCCUUAAUGAGCUAAUUGCAAUGGUGACCUCAAAAGGCAAGUUUGAAAUUCAAACACACAGCAAUUCCCAUAUGGGAACAAACCAGUCUUUGUUUACUGGUGGCUUGUACCAGAUGUUAUAGAGAAAAGCCCAGAGGACAUGCAAAUUUUGUUCACUAGCACUGCAUUCUCUGGAGAAUUACUACCUUGAUUGUUAAUUAGUUUUAUAGUACACAAAGCAGUUAAAGGCUGUUUCUGUGGAGAUUGAUUCAGAGCUGAAAUGAAGGCAAGACCUUUCCUGAAAUAUUUUCACCUCUAGUUCAAGUGAAAAAAUAGCAAGUACAAAAGCAAAUUAAACAAGAAUCAUUUCAGUUUUUUGUUGUUGUUGGUGGUGGUGGUGGCGGUAUUUCUUUUUUCUCUACAAAUCUUUAUUUUGCUACAGAUUCCUUCUAUACAUGAUAAAGAAUAUGAGAAUAAAAAGCCUGAGAAAGUUCUUGUUAUAGCUGAU
ensembl:lncRNA